rnacentral:rRNA from 1 species
UACGUAGGGUGCGAGCGUUAAUCGGAAUUACUGGGCGUAAAGCGUGCGCAGGCGGUUCGCCAAGUCAGGUGUGAAAUCCCCGGGCUUAACCUGGGAAUUGCGCUUGAAACUAGCGGGCUUGAGUGUGGCAGAGGGGGGUGGAGUCCACGUGUAGCAGUGAAAUGCGUAGAGAUGUGGAGGAACACCGAUGGCGAAGGCAGCCCCCCUGGGUCAACACUGACGCUCAUGCACGAAAGCGUGGGGAGCAAACAGG